UGCAAGUCGAACGGCAGCACGGGAGCAAUCCUGGUGGCGAGUGGCGAACGGGUGAGUAAUAUAUCGGAACGUGCCCAGUCGUGGGGGAUAACGCAGCGAAAGCUGUGCUAAUACCGCAUACGAUCUAUGGAUGAAAGCGGGGGAUCGCAAGACCUCGCGCGAUUGGAGCGGCCGAUAUCAGAUUAGGUAGUUGGKGGGGUAAAAGCCCACCAAGCCGACGAUCUGUAGCUGGUCUGAGAGGACGACCAGCCACACUGGAACUGAGACACGGUCCAGACUCCUACGGGAGGCAGCAGUGGGGAAUUUUGGACAAUGGGCGCAAGCCUGAUCCAGCAAUGCCGCGUGCAGGAUGAAGGCCUUCGGGUUGUAAACUGCUUUUGUACGGAACGAAACGGUCCUUUCUAAUACAAGGGGCUAAUGACGGUACCGUAAGAAUAAGCACCGGCUAACUACGUGCCAGCAGCCGCGGUAAUACGUAGGGUGCGAGCGUUAAUCGGAAUUACUGGGCGUAAAGCGUGCGCAGGCGGUUUUGUAAGACAGAUGUGAAAUCCCCGGGCUCAACCUGGGACCUGCAUUUGUGACUGCAAGGCUAGAGUACGGUAGAGGGGGAUGGAAUUCCGCGUGUAGCAGUGAAAUGCGUAGAUAUGCGGAGGAACACCGAUGGCGAAGGCAAUCCCCKGGACCUGUACUGACGCUCAUGCACGAAAGCGUGGGGAGCAAACAGGAUUAGAUACCCUGGUAGUCCA
rnacentral:rRNA from 1 species